GAUGACUGAAGCUGGCAUAAUCCUCUUUACCUGCUCCUCCCUCAGGCAAUAAGCAGGUUGCUUGGACCCAGAAGAAUAGCUACUUUCUGUGGCCACACUGUGAGGGAGGGCUUCCAGGUGGCUGGGGAAAUUAGUUGCUGUGACAACAAGCUGGCGCGGGUGUAGUUUGCUGCACUUUGCAGCUCUUGUCUUCUGCUCCAGGGCACUCAGCUGCCUGGGGGAACCUGGAAAUCCAGUAAGUUCACACCUCAGGAGCAACAUCGGACAGAUGGUGGUUUGGAGCAGAGUGAGUGACUCUUUUCCUGGCCCCGAGGAGCAGCUGAAGAGGAUGCAGUGCCCAGUGGAAGGACACGCAGCGUGUCCUGUAUGGUGA
rnacentral:lncRNA from 1 species